GAUUAAGUUAUUAAGGGCGCACGGUGGAUGCCUUGGCACUAGAAGCCGAUGAAGGACGUUACUAACGACGAUAUGCUUUGGGGAGCUGUAAGUAAGCUUUGAUCCAGAGAUUUCCGAAUGGGGAAACCCAGCAUGAGUUAUGUCAUGUUAUCGAUAUGUGAAUACAUAGCAUAUCAGAAGGCACACCCGGAGAACUGAAACAUCUUAGUACCCGGAGGAAGAGAAAGAAAAUUCGAUUCCCUUAGUAGCGGCGAGCGAAACGGGAAGAGCCCAAACCAACAAGCUUGCUUGUUGGGGUUGUAGGACACUCUAUACGGAGUUACAAAGGACGACAUUAGACGAAUCAUCUGGAAAGAUGAAUCAAAGAAGGUAAUAAUCCUGUAGUCGAAAAUGUUGUCUCUCUUGAGUGGAUCCUGAGUACGACGGAGCACGUGAAAUUCCGUCGGAAUCUGGGAGGACCAUCUCCUAAGGCUAAAUACUCUCUAGUGACCGAUAGUGAACCAGUACCGUGAGGGAAAGGUGAAAAGCACCCCGGAAGGGGAGUGAAAUAGAACCUGAAACCGUGUGCUUACAAGUAGUCAGAGCCCGUUAAUGGGUGAUGGCGUGCCUUUUGUAGAAUGAACCGGCGAGUUACGAUUUGAUGCAAGGUUAAGCAGUAAAUGUGGAGCCGUAGCGAAAGCGAGUCUGAAUAGGGCGUUUAGUAUUUGGUCGUAGACCCGAAACCAGGUGAUCUACCCUUGGUCAGGUUGAAGUUCAGGUAACACUGAAUGGAGGACCGAACCGACUUACGUUGAAAAGUGAGCGGAUGAACUGAGGGUAGCGGAGAAAUUCCAAUCGAACCUGGAGAUAGCUGGUUCUCUCCGAAAUAGCUUUAGGGCUAGCCUCAAGUGAUGAUUAUUGGAGGUAGAGCACUGUUUGGACGAGGGGCCCCUCUCGGGUUACCGAAUUCAGACAAACUCCGAAUGCCAAUUAAUUUAACUUGGGAGUCAGAACAUGGGUGAUAAGGUCCGUGUUCGAAAGGGAAACAGCCCAGACCACCAGCUAAGGUCCCAAAAUAUAUGUUAAGUGGAAAAGGAUGUGGCGUUGCCCAGACAACUAGGAUGUUGGCUUAGAAGCAGCCAUCAUUUAAAGAGUGCGUAAUAGCUCACUAGUCGAGUGACACUGCGCCGAAAAUGUACCGGGGCUAAACAUAUUACCGAAGCUGUGGAUUGUCCUUUGGACAAUGGUAGGAGAGCGUUCUAAGGGCGUUGAAGCAUGAUCGUAAGGACAUGUGGAGCGCUUAGAAGUGAGAAUGCCGGUGUGAGUAGCGAAAGACGGGUGAGAAUCCCGUCCACCGAUUGACUAAGGUUUCCAGAGGAAGGCUCGUCCGCUCUGGGUUAGUCGGGUCCUAAGCUGAGGCCGACAGGCGUAGGCGAUGGAUAACAGGUUGAUAUUCCUGUACCACCUAUAAUCGUUUUAAUCGAUGGGGGGACGCAGUAGGAUAGGCGAAGCGUGCGAUUGGAUUGCACGUCUAAGCAGUAAGGCUGAGUAUUAGGCAAAUCCGGUACUCGUUAAGGCUGAGCUGUGAUGGGGAGAAGACAUUGUGUCUUCGAGUCGUUGAUUUCACACUGCCGAGAAAAGCCUCUAGAUAGAAAAUAGGUGCCCGUACCGCAAACCGACACAGGUAGUCAAGAUGAGAAUUCUAAGGUGAGCGAGCGAACUCUCGUUAAGGAACUCGGCAAAAUGACCCCGUAACUUCGGGAGAAGGGGUGCUCUUUAGGGUUAACGCCCAGAAGAGCCGCAGUGAAUAGGCCCAAGCGACUGUUUAUCAAAAACACAGGUCUCUGCUAAACCGUAAGGUGAUGUAUAGGGGCUGACGCCUGCCCGGUGCUGGAAGGUUAAGAGGAGUGGUUAGCUUCUGCGAAGCUACGAAUCGAAGCCCCAGUAAACGGCGGCCGUAACUAUAACGGUCCUAAGGUAGCGAAAUUCCUUGUCGGGUAAGUUCCGACCCGCACGAAAGGCGUAACGAUUUGGGCACUGUCUCAACGAGAGACUCGGUGAAAUCAUAGUACCUGUGAAGAUGCAGGUUACCCGCGACAGGACGGAAAGACCCCGUGGAGCUUUACUGUAGCCUGAUAUUGAAAUUCGGCACAGCUUGUACAGGAUAGGUAGGAGCCUUUGAAACGUGAGCGCUAGCUUACGUGGAGGCGCUGGUGGGAUACUACCCUAGCUGUGUUGGCUUUCUAACCCGCACCACUUAUCGUGGUGGGAGACAGUGUCAGGCGGGCAGUUUGACUGGGGCGGUCGCCUCCUAAAAGGUAACGGAGGCGCUCAAAGGUUCCCUCAGAAUGGUUGGAAAUCAUUCAUAGAGUGUAAAGGCAUAAGGGAGCUUGACUGCGAGACCUACAAGUCGAGCAGGGUCGAAAGACGGACUUAGUGAUCCGGUGGUUCCGCAUGGAAGGGCCAUCGCUCAACGGAUAAAAGCUACCCCGGGGAUAACAGGCUUAUCUCCCCCAAGAGUUCACAUCGACGGGGAGGUUUGGCACCUCGAUGUCGGCUCAUCGCAUCCUGGGGCUGUAGUCGGUUCCAAGGGUUGGGCUGUUCGCCCAUUAAAGCGGUACGCGAGCUGGGUUCAGAACGUCGUGAGACAGUUCGGUCCCUAUCCGUCGUGGGCGUAGGAAAUUUGAGAGGAGCUGUCCUUAGUACGAGAGGACCGGGAUGGACAUACCUCUGGUGUACCAGUUGUCGUGCCAACGGCAUAGCUGGGUAGCUAUGUGUGGACGGGAUAAGUGCUGAAAGCAUCUAAGCAUGAAGCCCCCCUCAAGAUGAGAUUUCCCAACUUCGGUUAUAAGAUCCCUCAAAGAUGAUGAGGUUAAUAGGUUCGAGGUGGAAGCAUGGUGACAUGUGGAGCUGACGAAUACUAAUCGAUCGAAGACUUAAUCAA
rnacentral:rRNA from 1 species